UGUGGAUUUAUUCAUUUUUUAUUGCGGAAGUUGUAGAAAUUUCUAAGAUGAUGAGAUUAAGAGUUUUGUCGGAGAAGAUUCCGUUUAAUUUCAUCGAGAAUUGCGUUGAGAAUUAAUUUUUUUCAUUCAAAGGUCCAAUGCAGUUAUAUUACUCGUUAUAUGACGAGGAAGGUAACGUUUGUUGGAAAUCAAAUUUCAAUUCCUGAUGGAAUCCCAUUCAGACACCAUAAGCCGACGUAUCAAUAUAUUUCAAGGUCAAAUAUAUCGAAUAUUUCUCAAUAGUUAUUCUCCAAUUUCAUCCAUCCUCACUCAUGAGUCCCAACCCAAAGGUCAAAGGCCUGAGAGGUUAUAUUUUAAAUGCCCAUUGAGUCCCGGAGUCACCACUUAUUCGAUUACAUCUUUUACAAUUGAUAUUAAUCCCGAGAACUCAUACAAAAUUAAAUUCACACAAAAAUUCACGAGUUCUAAUUAAAAAGCAUUAGCAGUAUUAGCAUAUUAUCUCGCAGACUAUAAUUACAGAGUAACACGCGCCACGGGUCCCACACACUCGUCCAGCCUUUUCUAUAAUGCAGUAUUCAUCCAUCCGUCGAACUACUCUCGCGGCUCCGUCGAUGUGGGAAAUAUGCGAUUAAACAUCGCUCGGAAUUAAUUAAUUCCAUCGUACUGUUUCAAAUGGGGCUUUUCCCAGCCAUGCAUACCUGGGAUAAAAGUAAAUUAUAUCUGGUAAAUUGACGUUUUGCGGCGGAGCCAGAGCUUUUGACCUAUCCAUCACACUCGACCAUGAUUGGAUGACCCAUUGAUUGUUCAUCCACAUGGAAAACCCGAGGUUUAUUAUUAUUAAAUGUGAAUUGAUGGUGGAUAACACGUGCUGAGGCCAUUCUGCGGGAUUUUCGGAGGUCUAAUUCACUGGCUGAUGUUUCCGGUUUAGGGGAGAAAUAUCGAAUCAACAAACUGCAGAGAGGACAUUUCGACGAAAUGAGCAAUGAAACGCCAACCUCCCUCCUCACCCCCUCCCCGCAAUUUGGUGAUUGUGUUUCGCAUAAUGGCCGUUUCAACGCGAAUGACCCCAACGAGCUAUAUCGAAUUCGCAGACGGUGUCCACGAGGGCAUUAUCACGACGUCAGCGAGAAGUGUAUUCCAGUGUACACUCCUAAACUAAUCUCAACCAGUUUGGCCAGGCAAAAUGCGCAACUAUAAUCGUUGACCGGUGUCGUCGUGUUAAUCAAGUUGGUAAAAUGCAUGGUGGUGAAGCCCCUUCGGUGCAGUUGCGCACUGUAAUUUUACCGGGAACAAUGGGUGGGGAUAAAAUUUGACAGUUUGCCGGAAUGACAUUGUGUGAGUACGUGAAUACGUAGGUAAAUACGUGGCUGGAAAUAUGGAGUGAAAAAAAAUGUGGAACUAGCAAAACUGGUUAAUUUUGCUAGUCAUCUCCAUGCUCAUCAAUGUUUAAAUGCACUGCUGAAAAAAUUUUUCUGAAUUGUUCAUAAUAAAAACAUUUUGUGUGAGCGAAGGAUUGCUAAAAAAUACGAAAUUUUCUGCUUGAAAAUUGACGAGUAAUUUUGUAGGAGAAAUGUAUCGAGGGAAUCAUCUCAAUUUGCAAUAUUGAUGGCUUCCACAUGGAAAAUAAGAACGUUUCGAAGAUCUUACUUUCAAGGUAAUUAUAUCCAAAUUAACAGUGAGACUAAAAAAUGAAGAAAUUCCAUCUAUCUAUAUGAAAUAUACGACAAGUUCAUAAUAAUGACGCAGCAGCGAAU